rnacentral:rRNA from 1 species
GUGAAAUUGUUGAAAGGGAAGCGCUUGCAACCAGACUUGCACGCUGCCGAUCAUCCGGGGUUCUCCCCGGUGCACUCGGUUGCGUUCAGGCCAGCAUCGGUUUGGGUGGUUGGAUAAAGGCCUUGGGAAUGUAGCUUCCUUCGGGGAGUGUUAUAGCCCUCGGUGCAAUGCAGCCUACCCGGACCGAGGACCGCGCUUCGGCUAGGAUGCUGGCGUAAUGGUUGUAAGCGACCCGUCUUGAAACACGGACCAAGGAGUCUAACAUCUAUGCGAGUGUUUGGGUGUCAAACCCAUACGCGUAAUUAACGUGAACGGAGGUAAGAACCCUUAAGGGUGCAUUAUCGACCGAUCCUGAUGUCUUCGGAUGGAUUUGAGUAAGAGCAUAGCUGUUGGGACCCGAAAGAUGGUGAACUAUGCCUGAAUAGGGUGAAGCCAGAGGAAACUCUGGUGGAGGCUCGCAGCGGUUCUGACGUGCAAAUCGAUCGUCAAAUUUGGGUAUAGGGGCGAAAGACUAAUCGAACCAUCUAGUAGCUGGUUCCUGCCGAAGUUUCCCUCAGGAUAGCAGUGUUGAAUUCAGUUUUAUGAGGUAAAGCGAGUGAUUAGAGGCCUUGGGGUUGAAACAACCUUAACCUAUUCUCAAACUUUAAAUAUGUAAGAAGUCCUUGUUACUUAAUUGAACGUGGACAUUCGAAUGUACCAACACUAGUGGGCCAUUUUUGGGAAGCAGAACUGGCGAUGC